CUCCACAUCUCACAUCGCCGCUCCGGACCCUCACGUCCUCUCCCUCUACAGAGCGCCGCCUCCCACCCGCACCACCCGAUCUCUUCGCCGCCGGUCGCCCGCACGUUGGAUCUCUCCACCGCCGGCUGUAUCCAGCCCUUUCGGCAGCCCCAAGCUCUCCGCCGCCGGCAGCAGCCAGGUAGCCGGCGCGAGGACGCCAGCCUUAACUCGAUCCGUCAGCCGCGCCUCAUCUUCUCCUUGCCGUCACAGUCUGGUAGCAGCGGCAGCAGCACAACAUCUAUUCAGAAAUUCAGUUCAGACCGUGAGAAGUCUAAAAAAUAAUGAAACAAUGGAGAAACUCAACACCAUCUCAUGGAGGCAGCGGCAUGGGUACUCAUUUGUUUGACUGGAUAACAAAUCUGUUGGUAGAGUAUUAUUUCAAUGAGGAUUAUUUGAGUAAUCUGUGCAACUGUGCUCCUGAACCAAUAUAUCCAAGACGUACAAUUUAUGCUACUUGUAUUCUGUAAAUGAUUUAGUUGGCAGCCUGCUGUCAGAAUUA